GAUACACCUGUUCCCAUGCCGAACACAGAAGUUAAGCUUCUUCACGCCGAGAGUAGUUGGUGGGAAACUGCCUGCGAGGGUAGGAAGCUGCCACG
rnacentral:rRNA from 1 species